AUGGAGGGCUUUUCUGCGAGCGGGUUGUGCAAAGUCUUGUUUCACUGGAGUGGAUCAUCCUCUCGCUUACCACAAAACGCACCGCAAAGCACUCUCGUUUUAGGGUUAGUGCAGAGUGCUGAUCGCACAAAGCGUAUAGGAAAAGUUUCCUCUCGUAGAAAAGAGUCUAAGAGCAAGGAGGGCAAGCCGAGUCCACGCCGAGCCCAGUCCUCCACACACACAGAGAGAGAGAGAGGGGGAGGAGGCUUGUUUGCUGCGCUGGGGAAAACGAUUUGGAGAGAGAGAGAGAGAGAGAGAGAGAGAGAGAGAGAGAGAGAGAGGGGAGAGGGAGGGAGGAGGCUUGUUUGCUGCGCACGAUUUGGACAGGCGCGCUGGUCACGGUGCGCGUCUUCUUGCCCCUCGCCUAUUUAA
rnacentral:rRNA from 1 species